rnacentral:rRNA from 1 species
AUUGAACGCUGGCGGCAGGCCUAACACAUGCAAGUCGAGCGGAUGAAGGGAGCUUGCUCCUGGAUUCAGCGGCGGACGGGUGAGUAAUGCCUAGGAAUCUGCCUGGUAGUGGGGGAUAACGUCCGGAAACGGGCGCUAAUACCGCAUACGUCCUGAUGGAGAAAGUGGGGGAUCUUCGGACCUCACGCUAUCAGAUGAGCCUAGGUCGGAUUAGCUAGUUGGUGGGGUAAAGGCCUACCAAGGCGACGAUCCGUAACUGGUCUGAGAGGGUGAUCAGUCACACUGGAACUGAGACACGGUCCAGACUCCUACGGGAGGCAGCAGUGGGGAAUAUUGGACAAUGGGCGAAAGCCUGAUCCAGCCAUGCCGCGUGUGUGAAGAAGGUCUUCGGAUUGUAAAGCACUUUAAGUUGGGAGGAAGGGCAGUAAGUUAAUACCUGGCUGUUUUGACGUUACCAACAGAAUAAGCACCGGCUAACUUCGUG